AACGAACGCUGGCGGCGUGUUUAAGACAUGCAAGUCGAACGGGGUGAAGUUGUAGCAAUACCGCUUCAUCCAGUGGCGCACGGGUGCGUAACACGUGAGUUACAUGCCCUGCAGUGGGGAAUAGCCCGCCGAAAGGCGGAUUAAUACCCCAUGGUUCCCGCGAGGGUAAAGGUGGCCGCAAGGCUGCCGCUGCAGGAUUGGCUCGCGGCCUAUCAGCUUGUUGGCGGGGUAACGGCCCACCAAGGCGACGACGGGUACCUGGUCUGAGAGGAUGAUCAGGCACACUGGAACUGAGACACGGUCCAGACACCUACGGGUGGCAGCAGUCGAGAAUAAUUCACAAUGGGCGAAAGCCUGAUGGUGCAACGCCGCGUGGAGGAUGAAGGUCUUCGGAUUGUAAACUCCUGUCAUCGGGGAGUAAGACCUGGGCGUGAAUAGCGCACAGGGUUGAUAGUACCCGAAGAGGAAGGGACGGCUAACUUCGUGCCAGCCGCCGCCGUAA
rnacentral:rRNA from 1 species